UACGUAGGGUGCAAGCGUUGUCCGGAAUUAUUGGGCGUAAAGAGCUCGUAGGCGGUUUGUUGCGUCGGCUGUGAAAUCCCGAGGCUCAACCUCGGGUCUGCAGUCGAUACGAGCAAACUAGAGUGUUGCAGGGGAGACUGGAAUUCCUGGUGUAGCGGUGAAAUGCGCAGAUAUCAGGAGGAACACCGGUGGCGAAGGCGGGUCUCUGGGCAACACUGACGCUGAGGAGCGAAAGCGUGGGGAGCGAACAGG
rnacentral:rRNA from 1 species